GAUGAAGAACGCAGCGAAAUGCGAUAAGUAAUGUGAAUUGCAGAAUUCAGUGAAUCAUCGAAUCUUUGAACGCACAUUGCGCCCCUUGGUAUUCCGAGGGGCAUGCCUGUUCGAGCGUCAUUAUAACCCCUCAAGCUCAGCUUGGUGUUGGGGCCUGCUGCACUGGCAGCCCUUAAAAUCAGUGGCGGCGCCGUCUGGCUCUAAGCGUAGUAAUUCUUCUCGCUAUGGAGUCCUGGUGGAUGCUUGCCAUCAACCCCCAAUUUUUCUAUGGUUGACCUCGGAUCAGGUAGGGAUACCCGCUGAACUUAAGCAUAUCAAUAGCGGAGGA
rnacentral:misc_RNA from 1 species